GACGAACGCUGGCGGCGUGCUUAACACAAGCAAGUCGAACGAUGAACCCGGAGCUUGCUCCGGCGGAUUAGUGGCGAACGGGUGAGUAACACGUGAGUAACCUGCCCUUGACUCUGGGAUAACUGCUAGAAAUGGUAGCUAAUACCGGAUACGACCCUCGGUGGCAUCACCAGGGGGUGGAAAGAAUUUCGGUCAAGGACGGACUCGCGGCCUAUCAGCUAGUUGGUGAGGUAACGGCUCACCAAGGGGACGACGGGUAGCCGGCCUGAGAGGGUGACCGGCCACACGGGGGCCGAGACACGGCCCAGACUACUCCGGGAGGCAGCAGUGCGGAAUAUUGCACAAUGGGCGCAAGCCUGAUGCAGCAACGCAGCGUGAGGGAUGACGGCCUUCGGGUUGUAAACCUCUUUUAGUAGGGAAGAAGCGAAAGUGACGGUACCUGCAGAAAAAGCACCGGCUAACUACGUGCCAGCAGCCGCCGUAA
rnacentral:rRNA from 1 species